CAGCUAUUAUGAUUGAAAACAAAUUGCUCUGAAACAUAUUCUUUGAAACAAUGUGCUGCUUAAUUGUAUUUUGGAGGAGGGGGAGGCUAAGGCAAUUCUGUUUAAUUGGUUACAUUUUUCAGUUCUAUAAAUUAAUUUGCACUACCCAAUAUCACUUAAUUUUUCCCUAGGAAAGCUUUUGCUUGCCCUAGCAAUAUUAUAACUGCUAAUUCAAUUACACUGAAAUUGUUUAAUAGAAAAUAUAAUUGCUUAUUCAUACAGAAUACCCAUUAAAGAAGUGCAAAAGCGUGAACCUGAGGGUUAGUGCAUAUUAAUACUUUGGGAAUAAAGAUGGGAAUGUUGUGCAGAGAAGGUACUGGCUGAUCUUUAAUUGUUCAUCACCUGCCUCCAAAAUAAUAUGAAUGGACCCAAACUAAAUGACCACUCAUUACAAGUUUCAAUUUAGGAGCUUGGCUGGGGUCAGCAGAUUGCUUAUGCUGAUCUCAAUGAUUUGAAGUUGUGAUUACCAUAAGCAAUUUAAAUUUUAUUGAUCUCCCCUUCUGAAAGUUGUAAUUGAGCAUAGAUGUUGGACCCAGAGCUCUCCAAACUAAAUUGUACUCUGAAGCACUUGCUGGAUUCCUGCAAGAAUCAAUAAGCAGUCAGUCACAUUAACAAUGAAAUAGGUCCAUUAACAUACGGUGCUAUUGGUGAAACUUUAUUUAGGAAGGGUGUUAGUUCACUUCAUUGUUUUAUCAAUGGAUCUUGGCUGUACACAGAAAAGUAUUGCUUUAAUAUGUGUAAUAAACUUGUAUGAAAAUGAAAUUACAUUUUAUAAAUAUAUGGAAUGAGACUAGGUAGGCAGUUGAGUCCUUAUAUGAGAGUCAUUGUGAUUCAUAUCAUCAUUUUACUGUAAACAGAGGUUUUAUAUGACUGGAAUUGCAGCUUGCUUGCCGCAGUGCUUUGCAGUAAUUCUGAAUUUUUAUUCCUCCUUAUUAGAUACAGGGUUUCCCUCCAUCAAGGUUAAGUACGUCUCGAAGUCUCCAUGUUCAGUGAAGCACUUUUACUGAGCACCCACCAAGUCAAAAGGAGCAUUUCAAGUGCUCUGGAACCUUCUGCUUUCAUUUACUAAUAAUCCUCAAACAGAAUGUCUGCUUCCGACAUUGGCUUCUGAAAUAGAACAGAAUCUUAAUUAGCUCAUGAGAAACUCCUACUUAAGUAGUCUUAGAGCAAAUGGACUCAUUUCCUUCUCUAAUAGAUCCUCCUGUUGUUUGACUGUGAUGAGAAUGGUCUUUUAAAAGAGGCCUCAGGUGUGAAACCAACUGUUCAGGCUCAUUGUCAGCUGCCGGCUCCUAGAGUAUUAAUUCAAAAUUAGCGAAAAUAUAAGACUAUGUCUACAUUGGCCAACUCUACUGCAAAAUUGAGCAAUUUUCAGUUAAGGGUGCAGCAUCCUCUACAAUGCCCUUGAGGAAGAUUCAGAAGCUCAUUCUACUUCCAUCUGCUUCCAUCAUUAGAGAAAGAAGUUGAUUAAUUCAACCUCUCUAACAAUAAGAACGGAUGCUGUUAAACUAAAAGGGUGGUGGUGAUCCAACUUCAUUCACGGUAGAUGAGAAACUCCUGGGGGGAUGGCAGAAAAACAGGUACAGAGAACCUAGGCAGAACAAAGUUGUGUUCUAAACCACCCACCUAUUUCUGCACUGUUAAAUAUGAGAGAAGUACACUUUCGAUUUUGACAGCCAUAUUUUCUUUGAGCUAUUGUAUUUUGGGGUAACUUCGUUACCAUAGCUUAGCCAGCCUAACACUUUCUUAAAAUGUGUAAUGCUUUUUGCUAUAGAUGCUAUUCUAGAGUUUCAUUGACUCGUUCAUUGUCCUCUGGAGGAACUGUGAGAAUCUGAGAAGUGGCUAGGUCUGACUUCUGAGAUCAUUUAUGAUGAGUAGAACUCUCUUAAAGACGCGUGCUCUUGAAAAAACUAUGGGCAGAACUCAGUGAGGCUGAAGUCUUUACUGUGAAAGAGGCUGCUGCAUACCAGUAGGGAGUGAGCUGGGCAGAUUAGCAGAGCAAAUUGCCCUUUGUGGCUAUAUAAUUUACAAUUGCCUCCGAUCAAGUCCAUAGGAAUUUUUUUAGGUUUGAUAAAGAGCUAAAAGUAAAGCUGGUGCAUCUUAAUGAUUUUUUCUAACUAUCUCUAUGUCUUUGCAGAAAAAAAUUGAGGUAAGAA
ensembl:lncRNA